AAUUCCAUGUCCUCCUUGUGUUUGCCAGGCGCUACUUCCAAUGCACCCCCGUUUCCCCCCUCACAGUGGGGAGAGGGAUUUUUUUCUGACUCUCACUAGCUCGCCGCAUUCUGCUGGCGUAACAUCCAGGAGGAAGAGGGGCAAACCUCGUGCAGAUUCAAGACACAGAAAAAGUGGAUGUGAAGCAGGGAUGCAGGGGUAUCUGAGGAGAAGCGAGGGAAGCUGAAGCAGGGAGGGGAGAGGGAGCGCGUCGUGUCCUCAAACAGCCUCUGAGAAAUUGGAGGGAGAGGAAGAGAUGAUGAGAAUGAGCAGUGCGGCUUGGUCAGGAAUGAGGCGAGAGCAUCCACGGAGCAGUGUUCAACAUUUUUACACAAAAGAUGGUACUGAGAUGGCAGCCUCGCUUCACCUCCCACCUUCGAUAUUUUAAGACAAAGAGCUGCACAGGUGAUGCAACCCUGCCCUACAGCGCAUCCCUGGGUCCCUUAAAGGGACAGCGUACUGCAUGGUUGAUACAAACGUUCCAAUGCCAGAGGUUGUUGUAUAUAUGUGUGUGUGUGUGUGUGUGUGUGUGUGUGUGUGUGUGUGUGUGUGUGUGGUGCCAUCCGAGGCUGUCUCUCCGGCUGCUUUAUUUUGGCUCCAGUUACC